AUUGAACGCUGGCGGCAUGCCUUACACAUGCAAGUCGAACGGCAGCACGGGAGCAAUCCUGGUGGCGAGUGGCGAACGGGUGAGUAAUAUAUCGGAACGUGCCCAGUCGUGGGGGAUAACGUAGCGAAAGCUACGCUAAUACCGCAUACGAUCUAUGGAUGAAAGCGGGGGAUCGCAAGACCUCGCGCGAUUGGAGCGGCCGAUAUCAGAUUAGGUAGUUGGUGAGGUAAAGGCUCACCAAGCCGACGAUCUGUAGCUGGUCUGAGAGGACGACCAGCCACACUGGGACUGAGACACGGG
rnacentral:rRNA from 1 species